rnacentral:lncRNA from 1 species
CUAGCUUACUACUUUCCAAGUCCAGAACACCAACUACCUAUAGCACCCAAAUCCCACUGCCUGCUAGACCCAGGCCACUAGUUCCUCAGAGCCUCAACACAUUCUCAAAUACACUCUCAAGUUCCACAAGUCCCAGCAGCACUGUGGCUACCUCUAUUCCUGGGGAGCCUCUCCCUUCUCCCUUUACCCCUACUCUGACCUCUCUGCUGCCCACUGCAAGACGCUGGCAUCAGCAAGACCCGCUGCUAGGACCCAAGAGCACCAGCACUCUCCCGGAAGCCAUCACUCUUCACCUUCUCCCAGAGAAACUCCACCUGCUGUCAGAGUCAGUGGAAGAGUCCAAAUUCGUGGAGUCCUUGAACCCACCAGUCUUCUAUACCUUCCUCACUCCUGACAAAGAUGGAAGUUCACACUGGAAUGGCAAUUCUGAGAGAACUCUGGGAGUUGCUGAACAUGACAUGAACUCUGAGGAAAG